rnacentral:tRNA from 1 species
GGGUGUAGUUCAGUGGUAGAACACAUGCUUAGCAUGUUUGCGACCCUGGAUUCGAUCCCCAGCACUAACA